GAUGAACGCUGGCGGCGUGCCUAAUACAUGCAAGUCGAGCGAACAGAUGAGGAGCUUGCUCCUCUGACGUUAGCGGCGGACGGGUGAGUAACACGUGGAUAACCUACCUAUAAGACUGGGAUAACUUCGGGAAACCGGAGCUAAUACCGGAUAAUAUAUUGAACCGCAUGGUUCAAUAGUGAAAGACGGUUUUGCUGUCACUUAUAGAUGGAUCCGCGCCGCAUUUGCUAGUUGGUAAGGUAACGGCUUACCAAGGCAACGAUGCGUAGCCGACCUGAGAGGGUGAUCGGCCACACUGGAACUGAGACACGGUCCAGACUCCUACGGGAGGCAGCAGUAGGGAAUCUUCCGCAAUGGGCGAAAGCCUGACGGAGCAACGCCGCGUGAGUGAUGAAGGUCUUCGGAUCGUAAAACUCUGUUAUUAGGGAAGAACAAAUGUGUAAGUAACUAUGCACGUCUUGACGGUACCUAAUCAGAAAGCCACGGCUAACUACGCG
rnacentral:rRNA from 1 species